CUUUUGAAAUUUUAAUAUGUUGUUACUGAUGACAAAAUAGAGGUCAAGUUCAAUAAUGACGAUUUUGACUUUUACCGUUCAGGAGUUAUGGUUCUUGAAAGAUCGUAAAAUGGCGUUUCCAUUCAGGUUGUUGCAUUUACUCAUGAACCAUUCAAUCUAAGCUUUUCAAAUUUUAAUAUGUUGAUACUGAUGACAAAAUGGAGGUCAAAUUUGAUAUUGACGAUUUUCACUUUCACCAUUCAUCAGUAUUGGUUCUUGUGAUAUUGCCAGGACACAAAUAAAUGUUAAUAAAUCCGGUUUGCUGUCGUUGUGACAGCCUCUUGUUUCUUGUAAACCUGUUCCGUUGUAUAUUUGUGUACAAGUCGUUGUUUUCUCAUUGACAAUUGUAGUAUCAUCGUCUUCAGGAUUACUUGAAGUUGUGUUGUCAUUCGCUGAAAAAAGAUGCCGGUGUUUCAUUGGAGAGAGUGUUCUAAUUCUUUUAGGAGUGAUGGAUUUUUGCGGCGUGCACGAGUGCUUUUCAGAUAAACCUGGUGAUGAACUAUGAUGCAUUUUGGCUGGUGGAGGUUUCGGGCAUAUCUUAUGUUGAGGACUAUUUUGUGAUUUUCCACCAUGUUUUGGUUUAUUGAGCCUUAGCCUUGACUUUGUUUUACCAUGAUAGUGACUGAAAAGGAAAAGAAAUCGUUUACAAGCUUGAAAACUAAAUAUUUUAAGCCAUUUUUUACUAUGAAUGAAAUCAAAAGCACAUGUUUUAUAAGACCAAAAAACAGGCAAAUGAAAAAACUCUUAUUUUGUCAUGGUAAAGUAGAUGUGAAUGAAAUCAAAAGCAUAUAUUUUAUAAGACCAAAAACAGGCAAAGUGAAAAAUCCUUGUCUUGCCAUGGUAAAGUAGAUGUGUUUGAAAUAAAAUGUAUCAUAUGAAGACUAAUUUACAAGCAAAUAUGUAUUUUUUUAUGACAAGCCUCUACCCCUUGCGACGCAAAAUCUGACACCCCGAGCGACACUUUAUAUUUUGAUGAAU
rnacentral:lncRNA from 1 species